ensembl:lncRNA
CUGUUAGCGUCAGGGGCCUCUCCUGUCAUUAUCCUUUUCCCAGGGUUGGAGUGGGCUCUGGGAGGGGAGUCACCCCUUCCACUCACCAGGGGACAGUGACCAUCCCCUCUCCGGGCACAGUCUGCAGCCCAGCCUUUGCCGCUGCCACCCAUGCCUCCUUCAUCUGCAGCGCACACCGUCCUCACCCUCCCUUCUCUUCCCUCCUCAAGGUCAGACUCAAGCUUCCUCACAGCUUCCCCUUCUUGUCCCCUGGGACUAGCGGAAGAGUGACAGGACUAACCACCAUCCUGGCCUGUCCUCCUGCUGCUCCCACAGAGGCAGAGCCAGAGGAGGCCCUGAGCUAUUUCUCCUCUGAGAUGCCUCUCUGCCAUGUCACCCUGCCUUGGGACCAGCUGACAAUGGACUGAUACCUCUACAAACUAAUGGGAAAAUAAUUUUGCCAGCGAUUCCUCAGAAAGAAUGGCACCAGGUUGGGUCUGCGAGGUUCCCACAACUGAAAUAAGGAAAUGAAGACACUUCACAGAAAAAGUACCAAUGACCAAUACAUGAAGAAAUGAUCACCUUUUGCAGCAGGUUUGCUGACUCCCAUCACAGAAAAAGAAUUUUUAGGAUGUGUGAAGAGGCAUGAGAAGGGUUUAUUAGACACUGAUUUUAGGAUGUAUUCAAGCAUGAAUUGCAGGUGCUCAGAGAAAAAUGAGAUGCAUUAUGAUCCAGAGCUGGUAUACUUAGGGGGCCUUGGGGGUAUCUUCAAGAUGAAUGAUCUAGGUUGUGUGUUUCUACUGUCUGUCAGGUUACCCAUCUUGCAGAUUAUGUCAGAAUGCAAGCCAUCUACAUGUGUUUGAAUUUCAUAUAUGCUGCCUACCAAUACUGCUAUUUCCUGAGGGUGGAGGAAGUGCAGCUUACAGGUGAAAAGUAUAGGUCUAGAGCCCAAUUUAUAGGCUUAUUGUGUUUUUAAGGUCUUUAGGAAUUUUUUUGAGAUUUUUGGAAGGGGAAAAGCUUGAGUAACUUUUGCGUCUUAAAAACUAAAACUAAAUAUAAUUGUAAAAUCUUGAUUUUUUUUGUUUUCCUUUUGCCUAUUUUUAAUUUGUUCUAUACCACCUCAAGAGGACUAAUAUUUAGAAUACAUAAAGAACUAAAAAAAAUUAGACCCCC